GAUUAUGGCUCAGAUUGAACGCUGGCGGCAUGCCUUACACAUGCAAGUCGGACGGCAGCGCGGGCUUCGGCCUGGCGGCGAGUGGCGAACGGGUGAGUAAUACAUCGGAACAUGUCCAGUAGUGGGGGAUAGCCCGGCGAAAGCCGGAUUAAUACCGCAUACGAUCCAUGGAUGAAAGCGGGGGACCGAAAGGCCUCGCGCUAUUGGGGUGGCCGAUGGCGGAUUAGCUAGUUGGUGGGGUAAAGGCCUACCAAGGCGACGAUCCGUAGCUGGUCUGAGAGGACGACCAGCCACACUGGGACUGAGACACGGCCCAGACUCCUACGGGAGGCAGCAGUGGGGAAUUUUGGACAAUGGGGGCAACCCUGAUCCAGCAAUGACCCGCGUGUGUGAAGAAGGCCUUCGGGUUGUAAAGCACUUUUGUCCGGAAAGAAAACCCUCUCGAUAAUACCGGGAGGGGAUGACGGUACCGGAAGAAUAAGCACCGGCUAACUACGUGCCAGCAGCAGC
rnacentral:rRNA from 1 species